AUUCCGUGCUAUGAAAAUUCCCGUAAAUUUUUGUCAACCUGGCGGAACGCCGCGCGGCAUGGUGGAGCAGACAAACAUGUAACUUUCCCAAAAUUACACUUCUCUAAUCCAAUUGGAUUCUCUCCAUCUCAACGAUACGUCGAUCUCUCUUUUCUUCCUAAGGUUUUUCUCCAGAUCGACGAAUACCUGCAGCCCUCUUCUUCAACUAUGUCGAUGAAGCCGCUUUAUGUUACCGUAUUCUUACUUCUCUACCUUCCCGUGUUCGUGAUCUCUGCGACGAAUCUGACAAACAAAGUAUCGCCUACAUCAAAGGACCUGCUCAUUCACGAUCAUUCACUUCCAGCUGCGGUCAGAAAGGGCUCCAGUAAACUCGCUUCCUUGCGAAGUUUUGAUGAUUUCGUGCUUGACUCUUCGUCAGCUACCGUAUCUUCUAUUUGUUCUUCCAUGAACGAGCCUGGUAGAUUUCUUCUUGCAUCACUGGAUGGAACCAUUUUAUCAGUGAACUGCAAAUCUGGGAUACAGUGGUCAUUUCAGACGGGUUCUGCACUCUCAUAUUCAGAGCAGGCUAUUUCAGAAAUUGAUGAAAGAGGGUGUUUUUUAUGCUCUGGUGAAGAUUGGAAACUUUAUGAGUAUUGCAUGGGUAGUGGGUUCAGGGAACUUGACUUGACAAUUGAGGAGUAUGUGCACAAUACACCAGAGAUACGUGGUCCUGAGAUAACUAUUGGUUCAAAAAUGGCUACUAUAUACCUUCUCGAUGCUGAUACUGGAGAGCAACUGCACAAAGACCAAACUCCCACUAAUCGUCCUGCCAUUUCUUCUCCAAAGUUUGGAAAGAAACUAGUUUCGUCUCAGCUGGAGAUGGGCAAAAAGGCUAGAAAUUACAUUAUCAUGGUUAGAACAGAUUAUUAUUUGAACUCUUCUGUUCUUGGAAAACCCCAGUGGAAUAUGAUGGAAUCUCGUAUAAGCGCCACAUAUAUUAAAAAUGUGGAAUCCACAAAGGCAGUUGAUGACCUUAAAUUGGUAUCCCCAUUUCAGAAGGAUAUUCCAGUGUAUUUCCUGCGCAAGGUGAAUAAUGCAUUAACGGCAGGUUCUGGAGUUCCAAUGCUGCCUACAGCAUUCGAUUUCCAGAACAAUUUUUCUGCGGAUGCACAAAACAUCUAUAAAAAAUCAAUUGGCGUGCCUAAUAUUCUACAUGAAACUACAGGUGGUGACCAGAAUCUACAAAGGUCUGAAAACCUUCAUUUUCUUGCUUCGGGUGACUCAUCUAAAGAUGCAAAUGAAUGUUCGUAUGGAAACUGUGUUAUGUUUAAACCUUUUGAAAGUAAAGUGUCUUAUGAAGUUGUAAGCUUACAACCUCGGUUGAAUCGUUUGACAAAUGGCCCAUUUGAAAAGGUUUUAGGUAUAUCAGAUGAUUCUCUAAUUUUUGCUGAUGAUUUGAAAUCGGAUAGAGCUCAUGACAAUCAGUGGAACCUUAAGGUCACGCUCCUUAAAACAUUCUGUGGUGUUCUGUUUUUUAUAGUCGUGCCCAUAGUUCUCGUACCUGUCAUAUAUUUUUGGAAAGCAAGAAGAACGAUCAAAUCUGAUAGGAAAUUGAGUAAUAAAGCAAAACCUUCACUCAGUCCUAAGAAGAGAAAAACUCGGAAAGCUGUCAACAUGAAAAGUAGUGCAGUUACAACCAAUCAUGACAACAUAGUUGCGUCUGGAAAGCAUAACACUGAAACCAAUGAGCCUUCUACCUUCCAAAACUGUGAUAAAAACCUGAUGAGCCUUUUAAGAUGCAACGGUACUGGUGAUGGGAGAUGGGUUGGCAAGCUUUUUCUGUCAAAUACUGAAAUUGGUCGAGGAAGCAAUGGCACGGUUGUCUUUGAAGGGAUCCAUGAUGGUCGUGUAGUUGCUGUCAAGCGACUUUUGCGUGCUCAUCAUGACAUAGCUUUUAAAGAAAUUCAGAAUCUUAUUGCUUCUGAUCGGCAUCCAAAUAUUGUUCGGUGGUAUGGAGUAGAGCAAGACCGGGACUUUGUUUAUAUAGCACUAGAGCGCUGCAUUUUCAGCCUGAGUGAAUUAAUACAGCUAGACACAGAUUGCUCUUUCCCCACAAAUACUGGUGAUUAUUUGACUUACACGAAGGAGCAGAAGAUUAUCUUGCCCAAUAUAAAAGGUAUCAGCAGAGAUAUUCAGUUGUGGCGGUCAAAUGGACUCCCUUCUCUCCAGCUUCUGAAAAUAAUGAGGGAUCUGGUCUCUGGCGUAGCUCAUUUACAUGAACUUGGAAUCGUUCAUAGGGAUUUAAAACCUCAAAAUGUUUUAAUAAGUGAUGGGUACAUUCUCUCUGCAAAGGUUUCUGAUAUGGGUAUCAGUAAACGUCUACUUGAUGAUAUGUCUUCCCUGAGCCAUCAUGCUACUGGACAUGGAAGCUCUGGUUGGCAAGCACCUGAACAGCUUCAUCAUCGGCGUCAGACACGUGCAGUUGAUUUAUUCAGUUUGGGUUGUAUACUUUUCUUUUGUAUUACAAAAGGUGAACAUCCAUUUGGAAAAUAUUAUGAACGGGAUGGGAAUAUCAUGAAAAAUCAUGUUGACCUAUUUUUGGUGGAUCAUAUACCUGAAGCUACAGAUCUUCUUUUGAAACUGUUGAACCCAGAGCCACAAUUGAGGCCAAAUGCUGUAGAAGUAUUGCAUCACCCUUUCUUUUGGAGUUCUGAGAUGCGAUUAUCAUUUCUUCGUGAUAUAAGUGAUAGGAUUGAAUUAGAAGAUAGGGAAAAUGAACCAGAACUUCCUAAAGCACUAGAAAAUGCUGGAGCAUUUGCAUUUGGUGGAAAGUGGGGUGAAAAGUUAGAUGCUGCUUUGAUUAAUGAUAUGGGUCGUUAUAGAAAGUAUAAUUUUGGUUCUAUGCGUGAUCUUCUUCGAGUUAUAAGAAAUAAGCAAAACCAUUACCGGGAACUUUCCAAAGAACUCAAGGAAAUUCUUGGACCAGUCCCUGAAGGAUUUGAUCUCUAUUUUUCUUCCAGAUUUCCCAGACUUCUGAUUGAGGUCUACAAGGUCAUAUGCAUACACUGCAAGGAGGAGACUUUCUUAAGAAAAUACUUCGAUAACAGUUGGAUAUAAUGAAUCUUCGUGUUGUCGAUCCCAAUGAACCGCGGACAUUCCAAUUCUUUGAGAGUUGGUCCUUGUACAAUUUCAGAAAUUUCUUCUUAUAAGUUAUAAAAAUGUGAAGAUUGACCGUGGAGUUUCUCACUGCAAGAGCACGGGUUCAAAUCAUGAAUAUUAUUCUUUGGCUCACCUUUUCUGAAAGAAAGACUAAAAAGGGCAAGGUGAGAAGUACUAUUUUCUUCCUUUGUUUUCUUGAUAUUAUGUUUUUGUAAAGUGUUGGUGGUUAAUAGAUUUAUGUUGAAAUGCCAGUGAUUCAGAAUUGCUCAUUGCAGAAAAUUUCACCUAAAGGUUGGGUUCAUUAUUUAAACGUGUUGGGACUAUCAUGAGCUAAUUAAAGAGUCAUUAUAUGGUUGGAUUCUAAAUUUAUCAGAGGGAUGCAUUAAGCUCUUUAAUGCACAAGAUUAGACAAUUAUGUUAUAUAUUGUCUCAUGCAUUUUA